rnacentral:rRNA from 1 species
CCCCUAGACGUUCUGGGCUGCACGCGCGCUACAAUAAUACGCACAGCGAGUAUCACCGAGCUCGAAAGGGCAAGGUAAACAAUAGAAAAGGUACUGUAAUGGUUAUAGAUCCUUGUAAUUAUUGAUCUUCAACGAGGAAUUCCUAGUAAGUAUGUGUCAUCAUCACGCGCUGAUUACGUCCCUGCCCUUUGUACACACCGCCCGUCGCUCCUACCGAUUGAGUGAGCCGAUGAAACUGCCGGAUGUGGACUAUUCAUAGUCUGCAGAAGAUAUUUGAAUCGUAGCGCUUAGAGGAAGGAGAAGUCGUAACA